rnacentral:rRNA from 1 species
AGGACGAACGCUGGCGGCGUGCUUAACACAUGCAAGUCGAGCGGAAAGGCCCUUCGGGGUACUCGAGCGGCGAACGGGUGAGUAACACGUGAGCAACCUGCCCCUGGCUCUGGGAUAGCCUUCGGAAACGGGGAUUAAUACCGGAUAUUCACUGCUUCCUGCAGUGGGGGGUGGUGGAAAGUUUUUCGGCUGGGGUGGGCUCGCGGCCUAUCAGCGUUGGUUGGGGGGGUGACGGCCCACCAAGGCGACGACGGGUAG